ensembl:lncRNA
GAGAAGCCAGGGCAGUCACUCGAGGCAGAAACUGAAGCAGAAACCAUGGGGGUAUGCUGCUUCCUGGCUCACUUCCCUUGGUCUACUCAGCUUACAUUUUUAUACAACCCAUGACCACUUGCCAUGGGCUGGUAUUGCCUAUAGUGGUCUAGACCCUCCCACAUCAACCAGAAAUCCAGCAAAUUCCCCACAGACAUGCCCGCAGGGUACGAUGGAGGCCAUUCCACAACCAAGGCUCUCCCUUUCCCGGUGACUUCAUCGAAUCGAGCAAAGUUAACCCACACAGGCAGAGAGUCUCCAUGUAGACAGCCGGGGGUGUGCGCUACCGUUCGGAGACGAGGUGGGGAGGCUACACACUCACGUAGCUAUUGUCCUAAGGAUUUCUAAAGUGCCUGCUAGCCCAUUCCAGGGCUCUCAGUCAAGAAUGUAACUGAAGCCCUUGGAUAAUAGAGUGUGAAAGGAAAGAUGUUCCCUGGUGUCAGAUAGCCUGGCAAACCGGACCAAAAAGCACAAACCAGAUGCUUGGCUUUACUCCUUGUGCUGGCUGAGGCUCCCAUUGCCUGCACUGUACCAGAAAUACUUUGCAGGCCAAAAAAAAAAAAAAAAAAGUCACAGCUGGCUAUGAAGCUCAGGAUCCUGCCUAUGUACAACCUGCUCAGACUGAGCUAGCCUGCUUCCUCCUGUUAGCGCCACUGUCGACAGGCUAACGACAUAGAGGCAGAAGCUACGGCCAGACACGGAAUGGGCUACCUGCAGGAUCUCAGAAUAGGAGCACCAGGAAAGUGUUAUUUUCAGUCAGCAUUCUAGUGCCUUAGGUAAACUUCUAGUGCCCGAGUGAGCAGAGAGCUGGGUUUCCAGAGUGUCAUUAAGAAGUUGCCGGGAAACCUAAUCCUGAAAGCAAGCCCCCAUCAUGCCCUGGGAGAGACACUGGAGCUAGGCACUGUCUUGUGGGUGAGGCAGGGGAGGUGGCUCUUUGGAGAGCAGCUGGCGUUUUGUUGGAGACUCGGGGGUCACUCCUCUUCCUUCGCAGUGGGGCUGUCUGUGCUGUACACCAAUGCUGGCCGUCAGUCCUGAAGGGCAGCGAAGCUCUGGUUUCCUUGUGAUUUCAGGGGAAGAUAAGAAUUAGCCUCCGGGAGAACUGGCCACUGCACUGACCCAGCCUGAUGGCGUCCUGGAGAGUGAGCUUCAGUGGCAGCUGUACAGCUUGCACUUCCCAGUCACAGUCCAUCUCUGAGGGAAGCCAAGGCAGGACCUCGAGGACCAAACCUGGAGGUGGAAAUGGAAGCAGAGUCCAAAG